rnacentral:lncRNA from 1 species
AAUACAUAAUCCUUUGCAACACAUCACAUUUUCGUAUUGUCAUUUUAGUAAUUAUUUUUUUAAUUCAACGAAGCAUGUGCCAAACGGAAGCAUACCUAGACGUGAUAUGAGUACCAAAGAGACAACACCCCAUCCAACAAUGUAUAGAAUGAUGCUUAUGUUUGUGCUUUUUUUAUAAUUCUAGGAGCAACUAAAAUGCGAUGUUUGAUGAAACGUUAUGACAGGAUCACACAAGGAUGUUGUCAAGGUAACGUAUACAACAGAUCUGUAAGCGGUUGCUGUAAUAACAAGUUGUAUAAUAUAUCACAUCAAGGUUGCUGCCACAAUAUCAACAUUUACAAGAUACCAUUCCAGGGAUGCUGUGGGGAUAUCGUAUACAACAAACAUCAUGAUGCCAUACAAUAUGAAUGUUGCAAUGGUGAGGCUUUAUGUAGAAACUUUACUCAUACCUUAUACAUAGUAGUUUUAUUAAAGUAAAUAUAUUGCUAUAACUGUCAAUGCGACUAUCACAAGUAUAACUUCAACACUAUAAGAGGUGGAGGAUGAAAGCAACUACUAGUAUACGUCAUCGUACAGCUUUUGUCAAUAAGCAAAACCCAUACCAUUUAGAAAGCUACAGAAGACUCUUAAUGAGAAAAACAAACAUGAAAACAACACAUAAUAAAUUUCAUGUAUCCGAAGCGCUUUUCUGGA